ACAGCCUUUCCUGAGUCCUGGCUUUAUUAGUGGGAGAGGUCUCUGAUACGACUCCCAACACUGUGAAAGUCCAAAGCUUUGUCUUUUGCCACCUUGCCAUAAACGUAAACAGGUCUAUGGUGGAGCCCAAGAUUCUGUGCUUCUGACAACACUCGGGUGAUGCCAAUACUGCCAGCUUGAGAACCAGUGUUGAAUAGCAAGAGAAUGACUAUCAGACUGCGGAUCCGGGGGUAGGGCCUGUAAGGGAGAGAAGUGUGCUUAAAGGAUCAGGAAGUUUCAAUGACUGGAAGCUGUGUCAAAGCAAAGAAUAUGGACAGAAACAACUGGGAGACUCUUCAUGAGGUGAUCUAACACGAGCAGAGACCUAGCUGUUCUGUCAGGAAGAAAAAGGAGCUGUUUCAGGGUGCGAACAUUUUUCAUUUCUGAAAGAAUCACAAAUACGAGAUGUGAUUCCAGCCAGUUCUGAGCGUGUGUGCUUAACGGAACUAUGCCGAAGAGAUCAAGACACUGAAUCUACAUUCAACAACGACCACUGGAAACAGCAGCUUCGUGUCACCCGCAUGAGAGGGCGGUGCAGACAUUUUAUCUUGCCCGGGAGCUUGGAAAAGAACUCAGUGCACAAUACUAUCUGUUACACAUGGAUACCAGCAAUAAUACACGGGGGGCUCCGGCAUAAGAGACAGCAAGCUCUGUGCUCAUCUGCGUUCUGAGUCUCUUCCUGGAAUGGAGUUUCUGCUCACGCUGUAGCCACCGUCAGCAAUUAAAACAAAGGUGACGUGCAGAAGCCAGGGCCCUUCAUCAUGUUACUAUGGACUUGGCCCAAGAGUUGCAGAAGCCGAAGGAGGAUCCAGAGGAAAGUUGAGCAUUUGCAGGCCCAGCCCCUGCCUCAUGCCAGGGAGGAUGGAUCUUUGACUUUAAAAGAGAAAUUAGAACCCACAGCUGCACAUCUAGGUCUAAAGAUGCUGAAGAAGAUUAAACUGACAUAUCAGAGAGUUCUCUGACUCAUGGAAGAGAGGCAUCUACUCCAAGAAACUAAGCAAAAUUGUUAAUAAGAAUUGAAAAUAUGAAAAAGCUACCUUUCCC
rnacentral:lncRNA from 1 species